UCCAGCCACAGCCAUAUCACCCUGCAGCCCAAGACUGGUUGCCCACUUAAGCUGCAGGGUUGAGCCUGGUCAGUACCUGGAUGGGAGACCUCCUGGGAAAACUGUUGCUGCUGGAA
ensembl:rRNA 5S_rRNA 5S ribosomal RNA